GACGUAGGGGGCCAGCGUUGUUCGGAAUUACUGGGUGUAAAGGGUUCGUAGGCGGUGCGGCAAGUUGGGAGUGAAAUCUCUGGGCUUAACCCAGAGGCUGCUUCCAAAACUGCUGUGCUUGAGUGUGGGAGAGGCGCGUGGAAUUGCAGGUGUAGCGGUGAAAUGCGUAGAUAUCUGCAGGAACACCCGUGGCGAAAGCGGCGCGCUGGGCCACUACUGACGCUGAGGAACGAAAGCUAGGGGAGCAAACAGG
rnacentral:rRNA from 1 species